ACUCAAAUGAAUUGACGGGGGCCCGCACAAGCAGCGGAGCGUGUGGUUUAAUUCGAUGCAACGCGAAGAACCUUACCUGGGCUUGACAUGUUGGUGGUAGGGAGGUGAAAGCCGAACGACCCGCAAGGGAGCCAAUGCAGGUGCUGCAUGGCUGUCGUCAGCUCGUGUCGUGAGAUGUUGGGUUAAGUCCCGCAACGAGCGCAACCCUUGUCGCCUGUUAGAUCUGUCAGGCGAGACUGCCCGUGCAAGCGGGAGGAAGGUGGGGAUGACGUCAAGUCAGCAUGGCCUUUAUACCCAGGGCGACACACACGCUACAAUGGAGGGGACAAUGGGGCGCAAGGCGGCAACGCGGAGCCAAUCCUCAAACCCUUCCUCAGUUCGGAUUGGGGGCUGCAACUCGCCCCCAUGAAGGCGGAGUUGCUAGUAACCGCGCGUCAGCCAUAGUGCGGUGAAUACGUUCCCGGGCCUUGCACACACCGCCCGU
rnacentral:rRNA from 1 species